GGGGAGUUAGCUCAGUUGGUUAGAGCAGGGGACUCAUAAUCCCUUGGUCGUCGGUUCAAGUCCGUCACUCCCUACCA
rnacentral:tRNA from 7 species